AGAAGAAGUAGAGUAUUUUUUUCUCAACAAAAUAAAAAAAAUACCUCUCUGAGUGGUUAAUCAACCAUAAAAAGACCUAUCUGUUAGGGGGAAAGCAGGAUUGGCAGGAUAGGUUUAAAAACAUGAGGAGAGGGAACCAAGAAGCACACGAUAAGAAUGAUACUCUAAGUCGAGUUAGCCAGGGUUUAACGAUUACACAGAUUUAUCCCAUAAUGAAGAAAACAGGAAAGGGACCACCUUAUGCGGAAGAAGAGGACCUGAAGAAAAAUGCACUUAAGUCAGUUGUUAAAUAACUCGCAGUAGCUGUUGGAUCACUGGUUUUGGUUAGUGCUGAAUUUGUACCCUUGGAACAAAGAAAUCUCUUACAAGAUGGAUAUGCCGGUCAUCCCAAUCCCUCAAGGAAAGAGGCUAUGGAAGCUAAUUAAGAGCGUAAUCAGAAUGCAUUUCGGCCAAAGAUUGCUGGUAGUUCUCAUGGAGUUCGUGACAUUAAGGUAUGUGGUCUAACUCAUUGAGUUUUUAAAAAGUCCAUGGGUUAUUUUCUUUUAUUUUGUUAGAUAUUAAUGGUUGGUUCAGUAUUGAUGAAAACUAUGUUGUAGUGACCAUCUUGUUUCGUAAUUAUUUUUGAUGUAUCAUCCUGAUCUGCUGAAGCUAAACUUGAGUUAUUAAUCUGGAGAUAUUUUUUACCGUUCAGUCUUACCCUGAACACGAUUUAACAAAUCAGUGAUGUCAUCUAAGUUCUAACUUAUAUUUUCAAUGGUAAAUACACGCAUCCAUUAUUUGUUGUAUCUUAAAAUAUGAUCUAAUAUGUGGUUACUUCAAAAUAGGUCUUUGAUUGACACACAUUUAUUCAUAUAAUCCCAUUUGUUAGAUUCUCACUUUAUGUUGCUGACAAAACAUGAAUUGUCUAAAUCCAAAUUAUGAGGAAAAUAGUGACAUCUCAAUGAUAUUAAAGCAGAA